AAGCAGUUUCUCCUGGGUCAUCCUGACCAUUCUGCUGUCCUGGAUAUUUGAGGGAAAGAUUAAAAACAAGGAGGUCUGGGAAUGACUGAAGGGAACUGACAGCAGUGCAGGAAGGAAGUUAUCACCAGAAUCUCAGAGAAGGAUGUUGACAGUGUAGGCCCAGGAUGAAGAAGAGGAGGAA